UUUCUUUAGAAUUAAUUAAAGAUAAAACCUGCUCCAUGUUUUUUAAAAUAAAUAGCCGCAGUCAACUGUGCUAAGGUAGCAUAAUCAUUAGCUUUCUAAUUAAAAGAUAGAAUGAACGGUUAAACGAAACUUUGACUGUUUCUUAUAUUUUAAAAUUAAAUUAAAUAAAUAGUAAAAAUCCUAUUACUUUAAAGAAAGACGAUAAGACCCUAUAAACUAAAUUCAUUUAGCUGGGGCGGCAAAAUAAAAACACCUUAAAAAAUAACUUAACCAAACAAAUAAAAUUUAUAUAGAAAUAGUUACUAUAGGGAUAACAGCGCUACUUUUUUUAAAAGCUCUUAUAAAAAAAAUUCCUACGACCUCGAUGUUGAAUUAUUUACACCUCAKUACAAAGCAAAAUUUAUUAUUAGGUAGUCUGUUCGACUAUUAAAACCAU
rnacentral:rRNA from 1 species